rnacentral:rRNA from 1 species
AUUUUCCGCGUGGUGAAAAGCGUGGCGGAGCAAUAAAGCACGAGCUAGAAGUCUUAGGGCUAGUGAACUUCUUUUCCCGGAGAUGGACCAAUGCCGGUAUCUAAGGAAUAAGCUUCGGUGUCUCUGUGCCAGCAGUAGCAGUAAGACAGAGAACGCAAGUAUUUUCCAGAAUGAUUGAGCGUAAAGCGUCUGUAGGUGGAUUGUAGGGUCCGAAGUCAAAUCCCAGGGCUCAACAGUAGACAGGCGGUGGAAAGUACCAAGUUGGAGUAGGGUAUGGGCAGAGGGAUUUUCCGGUGGAGCGGUGAAAUGAGUAGAGAUCGGAAAGAACACGACGGGGGAAAGCACUUGGCUGGGCCGACACUGGCAGUGGGAGACGAAAGGUGGGGACCAAUUUAGAUUGGUUACCUCUGUAGUCUAGCGGUA